UGAGAAUAUCACACCAAUUAUCACUUUUUGAUAACAGUUUGAUUCUCAUCUUUCAUUCGAAUUUGUGCUUUCGUUUUGCAAACAUCAGUUGCUAUUCGGUUCCAUUUCUGCCAUCCUGGAAAAUACUUCUGAAACGGAAUUUAUUUAAAAAAAACCUCUUAUUUGUGCAGAUCCAUUCCUAGAGGAACAUCAUGUAUUUCAAAUCACCUAUUCAUGGAGCCAUUUCAUCAUCCACUCUGAUAGUGCUUCUCAUGUGUAUCCUGCCACAUGAAAGUCAAAGUGCCAACAUUCCAGAUCCUCUUAAUAAUUUGCAAAUUGGUUCGAUGAAUGCUGGAAGCAACGACUCAUUAAAAAUAUGGAUUGAAAGAUUCAAUAAUUCACACCAAGACUACGUUAACAAUAUCACAUCCUACAGAAAUAAAUUGGAAGCCAAGGAACGUGACCUGGAUAAACGACACCAGGAAAUAACUGAAAAAGAAAGAAACGUCAAAAAGCAAAUAGACGAAGUAGAAAACCGAGAGGUGCAAGUCGCAUCGAAGGAAGAAAAUAUCACUAAACGAGAGUUGCAAGUUGCUUCGAAGGAAGAAAAUAUCACUAAAACACUAGCAAAAAUUACAAUCCAGGAAAAAAAGAUGAGUGAAAGAGAAAGUGAUGUUACACAAAGAGAAAAGAAAUUAGAAAAUGAGGAAAAUGAAGUAUAUGAGAAAGCGAAUCGUGUUCAACAGCAACAAGAUCAAGUCACGGCUAAGGAAAACGCAGUCCAAAAAAGGGAAACUGAUUUGAAAAUUAAACAAGAACAAUUCAACAUUUGCGAACAACAAUGUACAAAUAAAACGCAGAAUGUGAACACAUCCUCAAUGGGAUGACCAGACAGGAGACGCAAGCGUUCCACCUAGAAAUUUCACUGAAGCAAUGAAAUGUGUUGAUUUGUAAAUACCUAGGUACCUAAUGAAAUUAGAUUAGUAAGUUCAUCAUUUUGUGAUGAAAACAAUAUUUUUUUCCAAUGUAAAUAUUGUAGGUACAAAUAUUCAAAAUAAAUCAUGUUGAAAAUGGGGUUGAGAUACUUUAGCAAAAUAUAGAUAAUCCUCAAUGAAUAAAAAAAUAUAAAAAACUUGGCGAUGGUUUAUACAUUUAUUUCUAAUUUGAACUCACCCAUGGUUUUGUGAUAAGGUGCCCAGAAUGAUUAUAUGAGAAAUUUACUCAUUAGAUAACAUGUAAUCAAUUUUCUGACGAAAGUAUUGAAAAGCUUUAUCAAUUUCCUUUAAAAUACAGAUACCUACCUAUUUAAUUUUUGUGCCGUAAUCGACUAAGCAUCACUCGUAUAUGUGCAACUGUAUACUUCCGGCGUAGAUACAAUUUUUUUUCUUUCAAGUAGGUAUUAAAAGUUACCUAGUGACAAUCAAGACAUCUCAAAGCCCCUCAGAGUGUAUUUCAACCGGAUUCAUUUCUGAUCAAAUGAUAUCAGUUCGGUAGUCAUUUGAAUUCAAGAUGAUUUGGAGUUCCAUCUUUCUCCUGACUAUAAUUACAUCUCAUAGCUGGGCCAAAUUACAUUUUUCGCCCAAUACGUUGCGACCUUUCCUUCACGAAGUACGUUUUGUCAAUUUAACAUCCGACUGCACUCUGCCAAAAGACACAGUCAUUGAAAUUUUUCCAUUACCGAAUGAUAAGGCAGCUGACAUAUACCCCCGUCAAAUCACCGUUAAAGACAGCACCCAGAUGAUAUGGUCUUUAGAAAUUAAUAUCAAAGGAUAUGGCGUUACUUCUUUCAUAGCUAAUGUGAAAGGCAACUCAAAACCGGAUCUGUCUGGUUCGGUGCAGGUUAAAGUGUCACAUGUUUAUUGAUGUUGAUUUGCUGAUUGAUGGAGAAUAGAUUUUUGUGGAAAUAGGCAAAUAGGCCUACGCAUGUUACUGAAUGUUUUGAUCAAAUAGUUUCGUGGUCUACUUGGCGUGGUAAUGGUGUUUUUAAUAUUGUAUUAAAUGUUGAAUUGAGUACGAUUUAAAUUAUAAUAGGAGUAAUAAAUUUUUUCUAGAUUUUUUUUUU